rnacentral:rRNA from 1 species
AGAGGGUGGUGGAAUUCCCGGAGUAGCGGUGAAAUGCGCAGAUACCGGGAGGAACGCCGAUGGCGAAGGCAGCCACCUGGUCCACCCGUGACGCUGAGGCGCGAAAGCGUGGGGAGCAAACCGGAUUAGAUACCCGGGUAGUCCACGCCCUAAACGAUGCGCGCUAGGUCUCUGGGUCUCCUGGGGGCCGAAGCUAACGCGUUAAGCGCGCCGCCUGGGGAGUACGGCCGCAAGGCUGAAACUCAAAGGAAUUGACGGGGGCCCGCACAAGCGGUGGAGCAUGUGGUUUAAUUCGAAGCAACGCGAAGAACCUUACCAGGCCUUGACAUGCUAGGGAACCCGGGUGAAAGCCUGGGGUGCCCCGCGAGGGGAGCCCUAGCACAGGUGCUGCAUGGCCGUCGUCAGCUCGUGCCGUGAGGUGUUGGGUUAAGUCCCGCAACGAGCGCAACCCCCGCCGUUAGUUGCCAGCGGUUCGGCCGGGCACUCUAACGGGACUGCCCGCGAAAGCGGGAGGAAGGAGGGGACGACGUCUGGUCAGCAUGGCCCUUACGGCCUGGGCGACACACGUGCUACAAUGCCCACUACAAAGCGAUGCCACCCGGCAACGGGGAGCUAAUCGCAAAAAGGUGGGCCCAGUUCGGAUUGGGGUCUGCAACCCGACCCCAUGAAGCCGGAAUCGCUAGUAAUCGCGGAUCAGCCAUGCCGCGGUGAAUACGUUCCCGGGCCUUGUACACACCGCCCGUCACGCCAUGGGAGCGGGCUCUACCCGAAGUCGCCGGGAGCCUACGGGCAGGCGCCGAGGGUAGGGCCCGUGACUGGGGCGAAGUCGUAACAAGGUAGCUGUACCGGAAGGUGCGGCUG